rnacentral:rRNA from 1 species
ACAUGCGAUCAUACGAGCACUAAUGCACCGUAUCCCAUUAGAACUCCGUAGUUAAGGGUGCUUGGGCGAGUGUACUACUAGGAUGGGUUACCUCUCGGAAAGUCCUCGUGUUAAAUCCC